GGGACGGUGGACCACCAGCAGAAUUUCUACGAAUGACGAAGCUGCGAGAGUGGCCGCCAAGAAGCCAAGUUCUUUGGAUGACGAUGCAAUGGAAGGCUUGAUCAAACAUACAUCGCCAAGAGCGUCAAUAACUUUGUCUUCCACGAUGGAACGAGUCAACUCAUCUUUAUGCCGAGUUGCCGACCAAUAUUGAUUGCAUUCUGGACCAAAUUCGGCAACUACAUGCAUGAACGUGAGGAGCGAGAAAACCUUCCGGUGAUAGUUUAUUCGAAUUGUAACCAAUGCUAUCUCAGUCACUCACUCACACAUACAUGGUUUGGCAGGCAAACUGUUUCGCACGCGAGAACGAAAUACAAUAAAUAACAAAUGAUUUGCAGUAAACAAA